rnacentral:rRNA from 1 species
GUAUAUUAAAGUUGUUGCAGUUAAAAAGCUCGUAGUUGGAUUUCUGGUUGAAGCGACCGGUCGGGCGUUGAUUCGUCUGCACUGGAGUCGGUUUUGGCCAUCCUCUAGGAAAGUGCGUCUGGUAUUAAGUUGUCGGGCGUAUGAUCCUGGUCUUUUACUGUGAAAAAAUUAGAGUGUUUAAAGCAGGCCUUCGCCUUGAAUACAUUAGCAUGGAAUAAUAAGAUAGGACUUUGGUCUAUUUUGUUGGUUUGCAGACCGAAGUAAUGAUUAAUAGGGAUAGUUGGGGGUAUUUAUAUUCCGAUGUCAGAGGUGAAAUUCUUAGAUUUUCGGAAGAUAAACUUAUGCGAAAGCAUUUACCAAGGAUGUUUUCAUUAAUCAAGAACGAAAGUUAGGGGAUCGAAGAUGAUUAGAUACCAUCGUAGUCUUAACCAUAAACUAUGCCGACUCAGGAUUGGUGGACGUUUAUUUAAUGACUCCAUCAGCACUGUAUGAGAAAUCAAAGUCUUUGGGUUCCGGGGGGAGUAUGGUCGCAAGGCUGAAACUUAAAGGA